rnacentral:rRNA from 1 species
UACGGAGGGUGCGAGCGUUGUCCGGAAUCACUGGGCGUAAAGGGCGCGUAGGCGGCCUGAUAAGUAGGGGGUGAAAUCCUGCGGCUUAACCGCAGGGCUGCCUUCUAAACUGUCAGGCUUGAGCACAGUAGAGGCAGGUGGAAUUCCCGGUGUAGCGGUGAAAUGCGCAGAUAUCAGGAGGAACACCGGUGGCGAAGGCGGGUCUCUGGGCAACAACUGACGCUGAGGAGCGAAAGCGUGGGGAGCGAACAGG